rnacentral:rRNA from 1 species
UACGGGGGGAGCAAGCGUUGUUCGGAUUUACUGGGCGUAAAGGGCGCGUAGGCGGUCAGCACAAGUCAGUUGUGAAAUCUCCGGGCUUAACUCGGAAAGGUCAACUGAUACUGUGCGACUAGAGUGCGGAAGGGGCAACUGGAAUUCUCGGUGUAGCGGUGAAAUGCGUAGAUAUCAAGAGGAACACCUGAGGUGAAGACGGGUUGCUGGGCUGACACUGACGCUGAUGCGCGAAAGCCAGGGGAGCAAACGGG